GAUGAACGCUGGCGGCGUGCCUAAUACAUGCAAGUCGAGCGAACGGACGAGAAGCUUGCUUCUCUGAUGUUAGCGGCGGACGGGUGAGUAACACGUGGAUAACCUACCUAUAAGACUGGGAUAACUUCGGGAAACCGGAGCUAAUACCGGAUAAUAUUUUGAACCGCAUGGUUCAAAAGUAAAAGACGGUCUUGCUGUCACUUAUAGAUGGAUCCGCGCUGCGUUAGCUAGUUGGUAAGGUAACGGCUUACCGAGGCAACGAUGCAUAGCCGACCUGAGAGGGUGAUCGGCCACACUGGAACUGAGACACGGUCCAGACUCCUACGGGAGGCAGCAGUAGGGAAUCUUCCGCAAUGGGCGAAAGCCUGACGGAGCAACGCCGCGUGAGUGAUGAAGGUCUUCGGAUCGUAAAACUCUGUUAUUAGGGAAGAACAUAUGUGUAAGUAACUGUGCACAUCUUGACGGUACCUAAUCAGAAAGCCACGGCUAACUACGUG
rnacentral:rRNA from 1 species